rnacentral:rRNA from 1 species
GCCCCGGCUAACUACGUGCCAGCAGCCGCGGUAAUACGUAGGGGGCAAGCGUUGUCCGGAUUUAUUGGGCGUAAAGGGUGCGUAGGCGGCCUUUUAAGUCAGAUGUGAAAGGUCACGGCUCAACCGUGGUAAGCAUUUGAAACUGAAAGGCUUGAGUUAAGGAGAGGAAAGUGGAAUUCCUAGUGUAGCGGUGAAAUGCGUAGAUAUUAGGAGGAAUACCAGUGGCGAAGGCGACUUUCUGGACUUAUACUGACGCUGAGGCACGAAAGCGUGGGGAGCGAACAGGAUUAGAUACCCUGGUAGUCCACGCCGUAAACGAUGAGUGCUAGGUGUUGGGGGUCAAACCUCGGUGCCGCAGCUAACGCAUUAAGCACUCCGCCUGGGGAGUACGUACGCA